UGGGGAAUCUUGCGCAAUGGGCGAAAGCCUGACGCAGCGACGCCGCGUGAGGGAUGACGGCCUUCGGGUUGUAAACCUCUUUCAGCCCUGACGAAGCGAGAGUGACGGUAGGGGCAGAAGAAGCACCGGCCAACUACGUGCCAGCAGCCGCGGUAAUACGUAGGGUGCAAGCGUUGUCCGGAAUUAUUGGGCGUAAAGAGCUCGUAGGCGGUCUGUCGCGUCGGCUGUGAAAACUCGGGGCUCAACUCCGAGCUUGCAGUCGAUACGGGCAGGCUAGAGUGCGGCAGGGGAGACUGGAAUUCCUGGUGUAGCGGUGAAAUGCGCAGAUAUCAGGAGGAACACCGGUGGCGAAGGCGGGUCUCUGGGCCGAUACUGACGCUGAGGAGCGAAAGCGUGGGGAGCAAACAG
rnacentral:rRNA from 1 species